rnacentral:lncRNA from 1 species
CUAGCCAUAUGGAGUCUUGAGAUGUAUGUUGAUUGCAGUAUAUUCAUUAUAAAAAUUGGAUUGCAUCAAGAUGGGAUCUAUCAACCUUAAUAGAAGAGGAGUAGUCUUAUGUAGAUCAUGAGAUUGAGUCCUAAAGCUCAUGGCUAUGGCAGUGUGAAUGAUGGAACGAUAUUUUCAUAAGAUUUCACAUCGGAUUCGAAUUGAUUGAUUCUAAGAUAUGACAGGGAUGAGGUUUGACGAGUUAUCUUUGAUCUUUAUCUUGUUGGGACUCAUGAUAGAAAAAUUGAAUCACACGGUAACUGUACCUAGAGGUUUAUCUCUUUAGUUCUGUUGGCUUGUCACUAUAUAUUGCUAGAUGUCACUGAUAGAUUGUGAAAACUCACUAGGAUAAUUCUGGAUCAAUGAUCCUUGAUGGAUGUAAGUUGGAAUUAUUG